CGGCGCGGCGAUAGCACGUUGCACGCACCAUUUCCUAAUGGAUCACUGAAGCUAAGCAACGUUGCACUUGGUUGGUAUUCGGAUGGGUAAUGAACUGGGCAGUUGCAUAUU
rnacentral:rRNA from 1 species